GGGCUGUGGGCUUUGAGGUCUCACACUCAUAUAUAAAAUAUAACUCGGUGGAUUUUCUUUGAGAGCCACAAAAACAACAUAAAUAAAGUUAAAAAGAAACGACCCCGUCUCAUUGGCUCUCGGAUAGAGUUGAAUAUCUGCCUCAACCUGCUGCAUGGCUGCACAACAACACCUGUAACCUGAAACAAUCUCUGCUCAUCCUCUGCUGCCAGCCUGACAAGUCAGCUGAUUAAACACGAUGAUUCCCCAGAAUACAGACGACAGCAUGACACGGUCGAUCAUGUAACAGGCUCUAAAUCCAUUUAAAUAAACAGAUUUUGAAGUUUAAUCGGACUAAACUCUGCAGACAGACUGGCUGACUUCCUGCGCUUGUUUGUCUUUUUAUCACAGAGAGGAAAAUAAUAAUAAAUGUCCGGAACUCUGAGUCUGAGCCGUUAAUAUUUGAGAAACUGAAUCCAAAGCUUCAUGUCACACUCCGCCCGUGGAGCCUCAGCUGAAGCUCCGUCGUUAUUACAGGCUGUAAUCUGGCAUUCACACCUUUUCUCCUCAUUCAUUGAUGGUGCAUUUCUCCCCUGAUAAAGGCGCUGCGCCGCGAUGCGUUUCACAUCCAUCACAUCCAGAGCGCGGGGCGCAGCGUUCAGUCCUCCGUCUAUCAGCGGGAAAGUGCUCUCGCCUUGGGUGUGGGGAUAUGAGCUUCUCUGCUCAGUUAUCCCGGACAAAUCUGAUCUCCUCCUCCUCGCGGGAGCUCUGUAAGUGAGCGGCCCUUCUCCUUUUCUUUUUUUGGACGCGCCAUUUCUCUCCAAUUCGCACACAGAGGAAAGUUGGGACUUGAGACUUUCAGCACCACUUUUCCGUGGACAGCGCUCGCGAUGCUCUUGGAUGGAUCGACGCAGCCUCGAAAUGCGUGUGGAAAUUCCUUUUGGAUACUAUUGAGGAGAAACAAUGUUUAGAUGUGGGGUCUGAUCUGCUGAGGGAAAGCCUCCCUUCACGCACUGACGGAGCAAACAAGACACGGAUUCGCUUUGGAUAUGGGUCACUUCUUAUAAAAGGAUUCUUCGUGGGCUGGAGAUCGGGGUAAGUGUGCAACCACCCAAGCUGCAGAAAUGGGUCAUCUGAGGAAAUCAAUGUUUUAAAAUUACAUCGUGACUUAUAUAAGUAUGAAAGGGAAUUUCACGAGACACCGAAAACACAGAUCCACGAGAUCAAUCUCUGUUUCGGGUUGAACACUUGCCGUGAAAUUUGCACGUUUGAAAGCUGAUGAAUGUUGGAGGAAUAUAAGAUCCGUCACGUUCUGACAGAUUUGUUAAAGCUUUGAGUGCAACGCCCAGGACUGAAGGUGCAUUGAUUGUUUUUACGCGUUAAGGCGCAGCGUUUUUGUGUGCGUGUGUGUGUGUUUGCGUGUGUGUGGCUCGCUGCGCUGCAGAUCCGCCUGAAGUCUCAGAGAAAACCAUAAAAGAAUGACUCAACACCCAAACUGCUUGAGCUACAGGCUUCAUCCGUGAUUAGAGGUGUAGUUGUGGAGGCUCAGAGUAAAAAGUGAGGAUGAGUGUGAACGGCAGCAGCAGCAGGGGGGUGCAGCAGAGAGCUCCCCCACAUUUAUCUCAUCAUCUCCACCUCUCUCUGUCGGUGUCUCCCUCUCAGCCCUCAAACUAGUUGAGUCACGUAGGGGAGCACCCUGGCUGCUGGCUGGGUGGUGGUGGUGUUUUUGUGAGUCUGUGUGUUUGAUGGGGUGGGUGAAGGAGGGAGGAAAGGAGAGGAGAGGAGAGGAGAGGAGAGGAGAGGAGAGGAGCGCAUAGUGUGUAAACCAUCGAUUGUCAGUCAGUGUGCUGUGCAGAUGUGCAGCCUCCUGGCAGUGGCAGAGAGAUAGGAGACAAUUUUGAUGUGAGCCUGCUGCUGCAGCGUGUGUGUGCGUCUGUGUGUGUGUGUGUGUGUAUGUGUGUGUGUGUGUGUGUGUGUGUGUGUGUGUGUGUGUGUGUGUGUGUGUGUGUGUGUGUGUGUGUGUGUGCAAACUUAAACAGCACCCAGGUUACUUGAAAGCUUUUAUCUAGUCGUUGAGGAUGCAGGUUGAGGUGGAUGAGCGUGUCUCUCUGCUUAUAAAACAACACUGGAGGUUGGAGGUUGUGGUCGAGCACCAGAACACAAACCCAAGAUUCCUCCACCUCCUCCUCCACCUCCUCCUCCUCCGGGUUUUAAUACAGCUUCCAUUUGGGGCUGCUCCCUCAGGCCUUUUCGUGGGGCCGGAGAUUAGCUUUGUGCUAUCUCACUCUCAUAGCCUCAAUUCGUGGUGGGGGGGCUGCUGUGAUUGCAGCCAAAUAUGCCAUUGUCUGCAUUCGCUCUGAACUUACAGCCAAGAGGGGAAAUGUUCCUCAUAUCAGCGGGUAAUUAUCUAAAGAGUCUGACUCAGCAAAAAGGCCGAUUUUAAUUCAAUCUCUUCCAGCCUCUCAGCUCCCACCAGAUGGAUUUUAUGUCUUACGUCGGGUUAUUCUUGUUGGCAUGUUCUUCACAACAGUGACUGAUAGCCUACCUGGAUCUAGCUACAAAGCAUGCUUAAGAAAUCUCCCCCUGAGAGAGAUUGGAGGGAAGACGGUGUGUGUCCGUGUGUGUGUGUGCACGUAUGUGUGUGUGUGUGUGGGGAGAUUGCAGCUGCUUCCAGGGAGAGGUGCAGGCAGAGCUUAUUCAAACAGCCAUAGAUUUACUUUUCCGAGCCGUGCCGGGCUUAUCUUGUCCUCCCGAGUUAGUUUAGCAAGUGCAGACUCAGCGUAAGACCUCUGCUUUUCCUGCUGCUAAGUUCUCGUUAAUAUGUCAUGGGCCGGAGUGUAAGCAGCUACGGAGAGAUACUGUAGCAUCGCCUCGCUCUCUUCUGCUUAAUAAUACAAGAGGACACACUGGUAGCACACCGUAGAUUAGCUUGCAGGAGGGAAACAAAGACUUCUUUACAUUUCGCACAGUUGGCGAGGGGUCAAAUCAAGAGCACAUCCCUCAUUUGAUGUUGAACACAGUGAUCAAAGUGAUUGAAAUCAGUCCAAGAAGAGGGAGGGGAGGAGGUUUGAUCUCCACUAUCCACAUCUUUAACUGUAGCUGCUGCUGCUGCUGCUGCACCGAUCCAAGAGCAAGAGAGUGAUAAACAAACGUGUGCACUGUUUCCCAAAACAGACCGGUGCUUCAAUUCCCCAAAGACCUCCCUGUGUUCCUUUUUUUCUCCCCCCGCUUACAAAGCCUCGUGCCGGAGAUGGAGAAGUGUUUUCCGCAGCGUACAGAGCCCAGGUUCCAGCUCCACUCUCCUCUCGGCAGACGCCAUCUGCUCACUGGGGAGGUUUUCCAAACAAUCCCGUAGUAAAGACAGGGGGAAUGAAACGUGGCUACACUUCAAACACACGCUUUUUUUUUCUUCUUCUUCUUCUUAGAAAUGAAAAGGAGACCCUUAAUCUUAAAGACAGGUAACGAGGCUGUAACAGAAAAACACAUGACGAUGCAGAAAUGAUGCCCUCACAUUCUCACGUGUCUGUGUUUGUACGAUUAUUUCAAAAUGACCGAAAACAUGUAAACUAAAGAUUCCUAUUGGUAGGAGCUCAAAGCAGCUGACUAAAGGACCACUGUACCCUCAUCAAAACCACAUCUAGGAUGGUGCAAAAUAGAGAAAGUCUGACUAAUCCAACGGGACGAUAAAUAACAUUUUAGACAAAUUAGCAUUGGUCGAUAUAUGAGCUAAUAAGGGGAAAGAAAUUUAGCUUAAUGAACAAACAUGGUCUGCAGACACUGCAGGCAGCCUCGACUUUGGAGCUGCAACAUCAACAUCUCUUCAUGACAACACCUUAAAGGGAUAUUCUGUCAUGAAAUUGAUUUAGGGUCAAACAUUUAUCAUCAUUUCUUUAUCAUUUCCUUGAAGUAAUAAUUGUCAUAGUAAUCAUUUUACAGACGUGGUAGUUCUUCUGCCUUAGCGUCUCGGUCUGAUUGCAUUUCCAUGAAGAAAUUAUCAUAAAUGUUCUUCCUUGAGCUGUGAAACCCCGCUGUAGUCCAUAAUGGACUGGCCCAAACAAGCGUCUGCUGGAAGAGAGUAGGUGAGUUGUGUUUAGUCUCUUUGCUAAAGAAA
rnacentral:lncRNA from 1 species